rnacentral:rRNA from 1 species
CCUACGGGAGGCUGCAGUGGGGAAUAUUGCGCAAUGUGCGAAAGCCUGACGCAGCGACGCCGCGUGAGGGAUGAAGGUCUUCGGAUCGUAAACCUCUGUCAGCAGGGAAGAACGGUCACUGUGCUAAUCAGCAGUGAAUUGACGGUACCUGCAAAGGAAGCACCGGCUAACUCCGUGCCAGCAGCCGCGGUAAUACGGAGGGUGGGAGCGGUAAUCGGACUGACUGGGCGUAAAGCGCUCGUAGGCGGUAUGUCAAGUCAAGGGUGAAAUCCCCGCUCGCAACGUGGGAACUGCCUUUGAAACUGGCAAACUGGAGUGUGUGAGAGGAUAGUGGAAUGCCAGGUGUAGGAGUGAAAGCCGUAGAUAUCUGGAGGAACAUCAGUGGCGAAGGCGACUAUCUGGCACAUAACUGACGCUGAGGAGCGAAAGCGUGGGUAGCAAACAGGAUUAGAUACCCCAGUAGUC